GGAUUAGGCAUGCAAGUCGAACGAGGGGAGUACCUUCGSGAAAGGGGUGCCAAMCCGAAGUKGGCGUAAGGGUGAGUAAUGCAUUGAUAACCUACCUUUGGGAUGAGGGAUAACAACGUUUCAAGUAAUUGAAAUUACCGAAAGGGGUUGCUAAUACUCAAUAAAACUAUUGUUGCUUUGGUGGCGAUAGUCAAAUAGGCGGAGUCGAAAGGCUCCAUUUGCUCAGAGAGGGGUCAAUGUCCUAUCAGCUAGUUGGUAGGGUAAUGGCCUACCAAGGCGAAGACGGGUAGCCGGCCUGAGAGGGUGGUCGGCCACACUGGGACUGAGACACUGCCCAGACUCCUACGGGAGGCUGCAGUCGAGAAUCUUUCGCAAUGCCCGAAAGGGUGACGAAGCGACGCCGCGUGUGGGAAGAAGGCCUUCGGGUUGUAAACCACUGUCGGGAGUUAAGAAAUGCAAGGAUGUUAAUAGUGUCUUUGCUUGACUAAGGCUCCGGAGGAAGCCACGGCUAACUCUGUGCCAGCAGCCGCGGUAAUACAGAGGCGGCAAGCGUUGUUUGGAAUUAUUGGGCGUAAAGAGCACGUAGGCGGCUAUGUAAGUCGGUUGUGAAAGCCUUCCGCUCAACGGAAGAACAGCAUCCGAUACUGCAUGGCUUGAGUGCGGGAGGGGAGAGUGGAACUUCUGGUGGAGCGGUGAAAUGCGUAGAUAUCAGAAGGAACGCCGGCGGCGAAAGCGACUCUCUGGCCCAUAACUGACGCUGAGUGUGCGAAAGCUAGGGGAGCAAACGAUUAGAUACCCCGGUAGUCCUAGCCGUAAACGAUGGGCACUAAGUAGAGGGGUUUU
rnacentral:rRNA from 1 species